rnacentral:tRNA from 1 species
UCCCUGGUGGCUCAGAUUGUAAAGAAUUUGCCUGCAAUGCAAGAGACCCAGGUUUGAUUCCUGGGUUGGGAA